UCGGGAAUUUUGGGCAAUGGGCGCAAGCCUGAUCCAGCCAUGCCGCGUGAGUGAAGAAGGCCUUCGGGUUGUAAAGCUCUUUCGGCGGGGACGAAAUGGUUCGUGCCAAUACCACGGACUGAUGACGGUACCUGAAGAAGAAGCACCGGCUAACUACGUGCCAGCAGCCGCGGUAAUACGUAGGGUGCAGGCGUUAAUCGGAAUUACUGGGCGUAAAGCGUGCGCAGGCGGUUUGUUAAGACAGAUGUGAAAUCCCUCGGCUUAACCGGGGAACUGCGUCUGAUACUGGAUGGCUUGAGGUUGGGAGAGGGAUGCGGAAUUCCAGGUGUAGCGGUGAAAUGCGUAGAUAUCUGGAGGAACACCGGUGGCGAAGGCGACAUCCUGGACCAAUUCUGACGCUGAGGAGCGAAAGCCAGGGGAGCAAACGGGAUUAGAUACCCCCGUAGUCCCUGAGCGGGCUGGCAAGGCGCAU
rnacentral:rRNA from 1 species